rnacentral:rRNA from 1 species
GUGCUUACACAUGCAAGUCGAACGAUGAUGCCCAGCUUGCUGGGCGGAUUAGUGGCGAACGGGUGAGUAAUACGUGAGUAACCUGCCCUUGACUCUGGGAUAAGCCUGGGAAACUGGGUCUAAUACUGGAUACUACCGUCCACCGCAUGGUGGGUGGUGGAAAGGGUUUUACUGGUUUUGGAUGGGCUCACGGCCUAUCAGCUUGUUGGUGGGGUAAUGGCUCACCAAGGCGACGACGGGUAGCCGGCCUGAGAGGGUGACCGGCCACACUGGGACUGAGACACGGCCCAGACUCCUACGGGAGGCAGCAGUGGGGAAUAUUGCACAAUGGGCGGAAGCCUGAUGCAGCGACGCCGCGUGAGGGAUGACGGCCUUCGGGUUGUAAACCUCUUUCAGUAGGGAAGAAGCGAGAGUGACGGUACCUGCAGAAGAAGCGCCGGCUAACUACGUGCCAGCAGCCGCGGUAAUACGUAGGGCGCAAGCGUUGUCCGGAAUUAUUGGGCGUAAAGAGCUCGUAGGCGGUUUGUCGCGUCUGCUGUGAAAGCCCGGGGCUCAACCCCGGGUCUGCAGUGGGUACGGGCAGACUAGAGUGCAGUAGGGGAGACUGGAAUUCCUGGUGUAGCGGUGAAAUGCGCAGAUAUCAGGAGGAACACCGAUGGCGAAGGCAGGUCUCUGGGCUGUUACUGACGCUGAGGAGCGAAAGCAUGGGGAGCGAACAGGAUUAGAUACCCUGGUAGUCCAUGCCGUAAACGUUGGGCACUAGGUGUGGGGGACAUUCCACGUUUUCCGCGCCGUAGCUAACGCAUUAAGUGCCCCGCCUGGGGAGUACGGCCGCAAGGCUAAAACUCAAAGGAAUUGACGGGGGCCCGCACAAGCGGCGGAGCAUGCGGAUUAAUUCGAUGCAACGCGAAGAACCUUACCAAGGCUUGACAUUCACCGGACCGCCCCAGAGAUGGGGUUUCCCUUCGGGGCUGGUGGACAGGUGGUGCAUGGUUGUCGUCAGCUCGUGUCGUGAGAUGUUGGGUUAAGUCCCGCAACGAGCGCAACCCUCGUUCUAUGUUGCCAGCACGUGAUGGUGGGGACUCAUAGGAGACUGCCGGGGUCAACUCGGAGGAAGGUGGGGAUGACGUCAAAUCAUCAUGCCCCUUAUGUCUUGGGCUUCACGCAUGCUACAAUGGCCGGUACAAAGGGUUGCGAUACUGUGAGGUGGAGCUAAUCCCAAAAAGCCGGUCUCAGUUCGGAUUGAGGUCUGCAACUCGACCUCAUGAAGUCGGAGUCGCUAGUAAUCGCAGAUCAGCAACGCUGCGGUGAAUACGUUCCCGGGCCUUGUACACACCGCCCGUCAAGUCACGAAAGUUGGUAACACCCGAAGCCGGUGGCCUAACCCCUUGUGGGAGGGAGCCGUCGAAGGUG